UGAGACACGGACCAGACUCCUACGGGAGGCAGCAGUGAGGAAUAUUGGUCAAUGGGCGCAAGCCUGAACCAGCCAAGUCGCGUGAGGGAAGACGGUCCUAUGGAUUGUAAACCUCUUUUGUCGGGGAGCAAAGCGCGGUACGAGUACCGCGAAGGAGAGUACCCGAAGAAAAAGCAUCGGCUAACUCCGUGCCAGCAGCCGCGGUAAUACGGAGGAUGCGAGCGUUAUCCGGAUUUAUUGGGUUUAAAGGGUGCGUAGGCGGAUUUGUAAGUCAGCGGUAAAAAUGCGGUGCUCAACGCCGUAUCGCCGUUGAAACUGCAGGUCUUGAGUGAGCGAGAAGUAUGCGGAAUGCGUGGUGUAGCGGUGAAAUGCAUAGAUAUCACGCAGAACUCCGAUUGUGAAGGCAGCAUACCGGCGCUCAACUGACGCUGAGGCACGAAAGCGUGGGGAUCGAACAGGAUUAGAUACCCUGGUAGUCCACGCAGUAAACGAU
rnacentral:rRNA from 1 species